AGCUGUGCGCAGUGGCAGUACCCUAGUCAGUGAGCCCUAUCUGAGGCACGAUUAUUGCUAACCGAAAACUAAACUGAAAAACACUGAUUUUUAGGUAAAGAACAAUUACU
rnacentral:snRNA from 1 species